GACGGAGGAUGCAAGUGUUAUCCGGAAUCACUGGGCGUAAAGCGUCUGUAGGGGGUUUCAAAAGUCCACUGUUAAAGAUUGAAGCUUAACUUCAAAAAUGCCGUGGAAACUUUGAAACUUGAGUAUGAUAGGGGUAGAGGGAAUUUCCAGUGGAGCGGUGAAAUGCGUAGAUAUUGGAAAGACCACCAAUGGCGAAGGCACUCUACUGGGCCAUUACUGACACUGAGAGACGAAAGCUAGGGGAGCAAAUGGG
rnacentral:rRNA from 1 species